rnacentral:rRNA from 1 species
AGUGAACGCUGGCGGUAGGCCUAACACAUGCAAGUCGAACGGCAGCACAGUAAGAGCUUGCUCUUACGGGUGGCGAGUGGCGGACGGGUGAGGAAUACAUCGGAAUCUACUUUUUCGUGGGGGAUAACGUAGGGAAACUUACGCUAAUACCGCAUACGCCCUACGGGUGAAAGCAGGGGAUCUUCGGACCUUGCGCGAUUGAAUGAGCCGAUGUCGGAUUAGCUAGUUGGCGGGGUAAAGGCCCACCAAGGCGACGAUCCGUAGCUGGUCUGAGAGGAUGAUCAGCCACACUGGAGCUGAGACACGGACCAUGGUCCUACGGGAGGCAGCAGUGGGGAAUAUUGGACAAUGGGCGCAAGCCUGGCACAGUGAUCGCGCGUGUGUGAAGAAGGCGUCGGGGUUGUAAAGCCCUUUUGUGGGGAAAGAACAGCAGCAGGUUAAUACCACGCUGUUCUGACGGUACCCAAAGAAUAAGCACCGGCUAACUUCGUG